rnacentral:rRNA from 1 species
AUUGAACGCUGGCGGAAUGCUUUACACAUGCAAGUCGAACGGUAGAGGGGGCAACCCCUCGAGAGUGGCGAACGGGUGAGUAAUAUAUCGGAACGUGCCCAGUCGUGGGGGAUAACGUAGCGAAAGUUACGCUAAUACCGCAUACGAUCUAAGGAUGAAAGCGGGGGAUCGCAAGACCUCGCGCGAUUGGAGCGGCCGAUAUCAGAUUAGGUAGUUGGUGGGGUAAAGGCCCACCAAGCCAACGAUCUGUAGCUGGUCUGAGAGGACGACCAGCCACACUGAACUGAGACACGGUCCAGACUCCUACGGGAGGCAGCAGUGGGGAAUUUUGGACAAUGGACGCAAGUCUGAUCCAGCCAUUCCGCGUGCAGGAUGAAGGCCCUCGGGUUGUAAACUGCUUUUGUACGGAACGAAAAGGUCUCUCUUAAUACGGGGGACUCAUGACGGUACCGUAAGAAUAAGCACCGGCUAACUACGUGCCAGCAGCCGCCGUAAUAC